rnacentral:rRNA from 1 species
AGAGCGAACGCUGGCGGCGUGCUUAACACAUGCAAGUCGAGCGGAAAGGCCCUUCGGGGUACUCGAGCGGCGAACGGGUGAGUAACACGUGGGCAACCUGCCCUUAGCUCUGGGAUAGCUCCGGGAAACCGGAAUUAAUACCGGAUAUGACCUAGGCCGACAUCGGCCGUAGUGGAAAGUUUUUCGGUCUGGGAUGGGCUCGCGGCCUAUCAGCUUGUUGGUGGGGUGAUGGCCUACCAAGGCGACGACGGGUA